ensembl:lncRNA
GGGAGGAUGACACACCAGUCAUUGUGUCUCACUUCUCUUCAGAGAACGGCAUAAAUGGUCAUGGGAAUUAUAAGUCACACCUCUCCGUAUUUGGAAGAUCAUUUCCCUGGCAGUAGGAGUAAUGCGCAAUCGACGUUUUGGUAGCAGGGCAGGCAAGAGCGGGUCUGGAAACCCAGUGUGGUCCAGAGCUCUGUGUACUUGCUGUAAGGCCGGGCAUUUUCCUCCCAGUCCUCAGGUCAUUGUGUACUUAUUGGGCUUCCCUGGUGGCUCAGCAGUGAAAGAAUGCACCUGCAAUUCAGGAGAUGCAGGUUCAAUCCCUGGUUCAGGAAGAUCCCCUUCAAGAGGAAAUGGCAACCCACUCCGGUAUCCUUGUCAGGAAAAUUCCAUGGACAGAGGAGCCUGGUGGGCUACAGUCCAUGGGGUCACAAAGAGUGAUACAUGACUGAGCAACUUAGCAUGUGUAUCUAUUAUAUUACUACUGAAAAGGGUUUCUCUAUUAACAUGGAUGUGAUUUUUUCUUAUCUACUGAUAUAUGCAUUCAUAAAUUUAAGAAAUAUUUGGCGGGCUUCAUCAAAAAACCUGGAGAUAUAGAGAUAAAAUAUGGUGCCUCUCACCAAGGAGUUUGUUUGAAAAGACAUUUGUAGAUGAACAAUUAGAUAAGAUUAACCAAGUUAAAUAGAAUUUUGAUAUAGUAUUAUUGGGACCAAUAGGAAAUAUGGAGAAAUGAUACUUAGAAGAGUCAGAGGAUUCAGCCAUCCUUCGUGUUAAUUGACAAUAUGGGGGAUUGUGGAGUACUCACAUACAUAUUUACUCAUUAAACAUAUGUAGAGUUCUUAUGGGCUAGAAAUUGCUCAGACCUAAGGGAUACAUUAAAAAAUCAGAAAAAAGUCCCUGCCUUCAAGGACCUUUUAUUUGAAAGAGAGACAGAUAAAUCACUAUAUAAGUAAAGUAUAUAUGAUAUUGUGCCAUGUUGCUGUGCUAAGUCACUCAGUCCUGUCUGACUCUUUGCGAC